UCGGGGGAUCAAGUUAGAGCCGUCGGAGUGGCCUAUAUUUAAAGGGUUUGGUUCUUGGAUAAACUAAACUAAUAAGGUGAUCAAGCAGCUGAUUAGACAAAAAGUACUCCAACUACUCCAACCAGACGUUGUACACAUAUGGGUCCCCUCGUACUUGUUGUCCUCCUGACCCUUUGCUGCGCCACCAUCAUCUUCAUGGUUGUGUGCUUCAUCUGCAACGCACCAUAAGAUGAUAAUGAAGAUCGAGGAGCUGAUGGUCAUGGAGGAGCUAGCGGUGAUGGUGUGAUGGUGAUAGAGAUGCCAACUACUCGGUUUGAGGAGGAAGAAGCCAACGGAUUGAGCGCACACUGAUUGUACCUGGAUUUGUGUGGGGUUUAAAACCUUUUAGGGAGUGCUGAUAGCCUUUCAAGGCCAACCAAUAGUUAAUUAUAACAUGCUUAUUUUUCUGUUUUCCUGUUAGAGUUCAAAGCCAAAUGUUACUUAUGUUUAAAUUGAAUGAUGAUUUUGAGUAAUAUAUAUUAAAUU